ACAGUUCAUGAGCAUCAAAAGAUGGUGGAGGGUACAUGAGGCCAACCAUAACCUCUUUGAAAUGCGAUGAAAGCUGCUCCUUUAGUUCCUCAACCAGGUUCUGUGGGGGAGAAGAUGAAAAAUGAGAAAACAAACUGCUUCAAUGCUGCUCUUGAACUCCUUCAAGAAUCGCUGUCUGAUUAUCAAACUUAUCAGUCUUUUUCUCCAAUGUCGUUCAUUGAACAUCUAUUUGGCACCAACGAGCCAAACUCGGAACUCUGAGAGCUCACAGUCCAGUCAGCAGGUGAGGCUGGCACCAGCACAGCA